GGGGUUGUGGCUCAGUGGUAGAGUGCUUGCCUAGCAUGCAUGAGGCACUGGGUUCAAUCCUCAGCACCA
rfam:Ictidomys tridecemlineatus contig031635, whole genome shotgun sequence.